GACGAACGCUAGCGGCAGGCCUAAUACAUGCAAGUCGAACGGUAAGGCCCUUUCGGGGGUACACGAGUGGCGAACGGGUGCGUAACGCGUAUACAACUUACCCAAUAGAGGGGGAUAAUCUGGAGAAAUCGAGUUUAAUACCCCAUGGAUUCUUAAGUGGGCAUCUACUAAAGAAUAAAGCUCCGGCGCUAUUGGAUGGGUAUGCGUGACAUUAGUUAGAUGGUGAGGUAAAGGCUCACCAUGACGAUGAUGUCUAGCUGGUCUGAGAGGAUGAUCAGCCACACGGGCACUGAGACACGGGCCCGACUCCUACGGGAGGCAGCAGUAAGGAAUAUUGGUCAAUGGGGGCAACCCUGAACCAGCCAUGCCGCGUGAAGGAAGACGGUUCUCUGAAUUGUAAACUUCUUUUGCUAGGGACUAAACAUGAGCUAUACGCUCAUCUGCAGGUACCUAGAGAAUAAGCACCGGCUAACUACG
rnacentral:rRNA from 1 species